rnacentral:rRNA from 1 species
GAUCUCAAAUCAGGCAAGACAACCCCCUGAACUUAAGCAUAUUAAUAAGGGGAGGAAAAGAAACUAACAAGGAUUCCCUUAGUAACGGCGAGUGAAGCGGGAAGUGCUCAACAUGGAAAUCUCGGCAGUAAUGCCGCGAAUUGUAGUCUGAAGACGUGCUCUCUGUCGCGAGGCAGGCAUAGAUCCUUUGGAACAAGGUGUCACAGAGGGUGAGAACCCCGUGCCUGGCCUGCUGUAGCGGCUCCACGAGGCGCGUUCAUAGAGUCGGGUUGUUUGGGAAUGCAGCCUAAAGCUGGUGGUAAAUUCCAUCUAAAGCUAAAUACGGACGAGAGACCGAUAGCGAACAAGUACCGUGAGGGAAAGAUGCAAAGAACUUUGAAAAGAGAGUUAAAAAGUGCUUGAAAUUGUUAAAAGGAAAGCGCUUGGGACCAGUGGUGCCUGUUGGGGGAUCAGCCCGGUGUGUCAGCUCCUUGGAGUUGGUACGCAGGGUGCACUUUCCCGACAGGCAGGUCAGCGUGGACUGCUCCUGUGGGAAAAAGGCACCGGAGAGGCGCUUGCGUAAUUCGGUGCCCCUACCAUGGGGGCGGUCGAGGUUGAAGCCUGCGCUGCCCAGCCUGGCUUCCUGCAUCUGCAUGGGACAGCUUGCUGUGCUAGUGGGUGCGGGGGCCAUGCAGCGGCGCCCGGCAAGGACGCAUGACGAAAUGGUUCCAAUCGACCCGUCUUGAAACACGGACCAAGGAGUCUAACAUACAUGCGAGCGCUUGGGUGGCAAACCCGGGACGCGUAGUAAAAGCAAACGCAGGUGGGAUCCGCAAGGAGCACCAUCGACCGACCAUGAUCUUCUGAGAAAGGUUUGAGUAGGAGCAUGUCUGUUGGGACCCGAAAGAUGGUGAACUAUGCCUGGUUAGGGCGAAGUCAGAGGAAACUCUGAUGGAGGCUCGUAGCAAUACUAACGUGCAAAUUGUUUGUCGAAACUGGGUAUAGGGGCGAAAGACUAAUCGAACUAUCUAGUAGCUGGUUCCCUCCGAAGUUUCCCUCAGGAUAGCUGGCGCUUGUACAGUUUUGUCGGGUAAAGCGAAUGAUUAGAGGCCUCGGAGUUGAAACAACUUCGACCUAUUCUCAAACUUUAAAUAGGCAAGAAGCCCGAGCUGCUUAGUUGAGCUCGGGCGUGCAAUGGAAGCGUCUAGUGGGCCAUUUUUGGUAAGCAGAACUGGCGAUGCGGGAUGAACCGAACGCGAGGUUAAGGUGCCGGAAU